UACGUAGGGUGCGAGCGUUACUCGGAAUUACUGGGCGUAAAGCGUGCGUAGGUGGUGAGUUAAGUCUGUCGUGAAAGCCCCGGGCUCAACCUGGGAAUGGCGAUGGAUACUGGCUCGCUAGAGUGCGGUAGAGGAGAGUGGAAUUCCCGGUGUAGCAGUGAAAUGCGUAGAGAUCGGGAGGAACAUCAGUUGCGAAGGCGGCUCUCUGGACCAGCACUGACGCUGAGACGCGAAAGCGUGGGGAGCGAACAGG
rnacentral:rRNA from 1 species